CAGUAGCCACGGUAAUACGAAGGGGGCUAGCGUUGUUCGGAAUUACUGGGCGUAAAGCGCACGUAGGCGGAUCGAUCAGUCAGGGGUGAAAUCCCAGGGCUCAACCCUGGAACUGCCUUUGAUACUGUCGAUCUGGAGUAUGGAAGAGGUGAGUGGAAUUCCGAGUGUAGAGGUGAAAUUCGUAGAUAUUCGGAGGAACACCAGUGGCGAAGGCGGCUCACUGGUCCAUUACUGACGCUGAGGUGCGAAAGCGUGGGGAGCAAACAGGAUUAGAUACCCGUGUAGUCCCUGUCUCUUAUAC
rnacentral:rRNA from 1 species